rnacentral:rRNA from 1 species
GUAUGGCCUGCUCUGACCAGGUCUCUACGAGUGCUGCAAGCCCCAGCUUGCUGGGGUGGAUGAGUGGCGAACGGGUGAGUAACACGUGAGUAACCUGCCCAUCACUCUGGGAUAAGCGCUGGAAACGGCGUCUAAUACUGGAUACGAGCAGCGACCGCAUGGUCAGUUGCUGGAAAGACUGGUUCGGUGAUGGAUGGACUCGCGGCCUAUCAGCUUGUUGGUGAGGUAAUGGCUCACCAAGGCGACGACGGGUAGCCGGCCUGAGAGGGUGACCGGCCACACUGGGACUGAGACACGGCCCAGACUCCUACGGGAGGCAGCAGUGGGGAAUAUUGCACAAUGGGCGCAAGCCUGAUGCAGCAACGCCGCGUGAGGGAUGACGGCCUUCGGGUUGUAAACCUCUUUUAGUAGGGAAGAAGCCUUCGGGUGACGGUACCUGCAGAAAAAGCACCGGCUAACUACGUGCCAGCAGCCGCGGUAAUACGUAGGGUGCAAGCGUUGUCCGGAAUUAUUGGGCGUAAAGAGCUCGUAGGCGGCUUGUCGCGUCUGCUGUGAAAACCCGAGGCUCAACCUCGGGCCUGCAGUGGGUACGGGCAAGCUAGAGUGCGGUAGGGGAGAUUGGAAUUCCUGGUGUAGCGGUGGAAUGCGCAGAUAUCAGGAGGAACACCGAUGGCGAAGGCAGAUCUCUGGGCCGUAACUGACGCUGAGGAGCGAAAGCAUGGGGAGCGAACAGGAUUAGAUACCCUGGUAGUCCAUGCCGUAAACGUUGGGAACUAGAUGUAGGGCCUGUUCCACGGGUUCUGUGUCGUAGCUAACGCAUUAAGUUCCCCGCCUGGGGAGUACGGCCGCAAGGCUAAAACUCAAAGGAAUUGACGGGGGCCCGCACAAGCGGCGGAGCAUGCGGAUUAAUUCGAUGCAACGCGAAGAACCUUACCAAGGCUUGACAUAUAGAAGAACGGGUCAGAAUGAUUCACUCUUUGGACACUUCUAUACAGGUGGUGCAUGGUUGUCGUCAGCUCGUGUCGUGAGAUGUUCGGUUAAGUCCGGCAACGAGCGCAACCCUCGUCCUAUGUUGCCAGCACGUAAUGGUGGGAACUCAUGGGA